GAUGAACGCUGGCGGCGUGCCUAAUACAUGCAAGUCGAGCGAACAGAUGAGGAGCUUGCUCCUCUGACGUUAGCGGCGGACGGGUGAGUAACACGUGGAUAACCUACCUAUAAGACUGGGAUAACUUCGGGAAACCGGAGCUAAUACCGGAUAAUAUAUUGAACCGCAUGGUUCAAUAGUGAAAGGCGGUUUUGCUGUCACUUAUAGAUGGAUCCGCGCCGCAUUAGCUAGUUGGUAAGGUAACGGCUUACCAAGGCAACGAUGCGUAGCCGACCUGAGAGGGUGAUCGGCCACACUGGAACUGGAACACGGUCCAGACUCCUACGGGAGGCAGCGGUGGGGAAUCUUCCGCAAUGGGCGAAGGCCUGACGGAGCAACGCCGCGUGGGUGAUGAAGGUCUUCGGUUCGUAAAACUCUGUUAUAGGGAAGAACAAAUGUGUAAGUAACUAUGCACGUCUUGACGGUACCUAAUCAGAAAGCCACGGCUAACUACGUG
rnacentral:rRNA from 1 species